AACGAACGCUGGCGGCAGGCUUAACACAUGCAAGUCGAGCGCCCCGCAAGGGGAGCGGCAGACGGGUGAGUAACGCGUGGGAAUCUACCCAUCUCUACGGAAUAACGCAUGGAAACGUGUGCUGAUACCGUAUACGUCCUUCAGGAGAAAGAUUUAUCGGAGAUGGAUGAGCCCGCGUUGGAUUAGCUAGUUGGUGGGGUAAAGGCCUACCAAGGCGACGAUCCAUAGCUGGUCUGAGAGGAUGAUCAGCCACACUGGGACUGAGACACGGCCCAGACUCCUACGGGAGGCAGCAGUGGGGAAUAUUGGACAAUGGGCGCAAGCCUGAUCCAGCCAUGCCGCGUGAGUGAUGAAGGCCCUAGGGUUGUAAAGCUCUUUCACCGGUGAAGAUAAUGACGGUAACCGGAGAAGAAGCCCCCGGCUAACUUCGUGCCAGCCGCCGCAGUAAGAC
rnacentral:rRNA from 1 species